UGUCUUCGGGGCAGGGUGAAAUUCCCGACCGACGGUGAAAGUCCGUGAAUCCUGCAGUUGCAGGAUUGAGAUGGUGAAAUUCCAUCACCGACAGUGACAGUCUGGAUGGGAGAAGAC
rnacentral:ncRNA from 1 species